CCGCCCUUAGCUCAGCUGGAUAGAGUAUCAGAUUCCGAUUCUGAGGGUCGUAGGUUCGAAUCCUGUAGGGCGGGCCA
rnacentral:tRNA from 1 species